rnacentral:misc_RNA from 1 species
AGAGAGAGAGAGAGAGAGGGUAUUAUAAUAAGACAAGAGCAGAAAAUGAAAGUGGGGUUAUGACAUUAGAAGAGCAGAUGGUAGCAUGGGGUACCACCAUGGUAGCUUUGCUGUUUUUUUUUUCUUUCUUUUUUUUUCUUUUUUGUUUUUCUGCUCCUUCUUAUACCUGUAGAGUAAUAAACUUUUAGAGAGAGAGGGAUAGAGAACGAA